ACGAACGCUGGCGGCGUGCUUAACACAUGCAAGUCGAACGGAAAGGCCCUGCUUGCAGGGUACUCGAGUGGCGAACGGGUGAGUAACACGUGGGUGAUCUGCCCUGCACUUCGGGAUAAGCCUGGGAAACUGGGUCUAAUACCGGAUAGGAGCCAUUUUUAGUGUGAUGGUUGGAAAGUUUUUUCGGUGUAGGAUGAGCUCGCGGCCUAUCAGCUUGUUGGUGGGGUAAUGGCCUACCAAGGCGGCGACGGGUAGCCGGCCUGAGAGGGUGGACGGCCACAUUGGGACUGAGAUACGGCCCAGACUCCUACGGGAGGCAGCAGUGGGGAAUAUUGCACAAUGGGCGCAAGCCUGAUGCAGCGACGCCGCGUGGGGGAUGACGGCCUUCGGGUUGUAAACUCCUUUCGCUAGGGACGAAGCUUUUUGUGACGGUACCUAGAUAAGAGGCACCGGCUAACUACGU
rnacentral:rRNA from 1 species